rnacentral:rRNA from 1 species
UACGGAAGGGGCAAGCGUUGUUCGGAAUUACUGGGCGUAAAGGGCCAGUAGGCGGCCAACUAAGUCGGAUGUGAAAUCCCCAGGCUUAACCUGGGAACUGCAUCCGAUACUGGAUGGCUUGAAUUCGGGAGAGGGAUGCAGAAUUCCAGGUGUAGCGGUGAAAUGCGUAGAUAUCUGGAGGAAUACCGGUGGCGAAGGCGGCAUCCUGGACCGACAUUGACGCUGAACGGCGAAAGCUAGGGGAGCAAACGGG